AGGUGAUCACCCGCGCUAUGCCGC
rnacentral:siRNA from 1 species